rnacentral:rRNA from 1 species
AACCUGGUUGAUCCUGCCAGUAGUCAUAUGCUUGUCUCAAAGACUAAGCCAUGCAUGUCUAAGUAUAAAUGCUAUACAAUGAAACUGCGAAUGGCUCGUUAAAACAGUUAUAGUUUAUAUGGUAAUCGAAUUUACAUGGAUAACCGUGGUAAUUCUAGAGCUAAUACAUGCUGUUAAGCCCAACUUAUGGAAGGGCCGUAUUUAUUAGAUAACAGACCAAUAUUCUUCGUGUCUAUUGUGGUGAAUCAUAGUAACUAAAUCGGAUCGUAUGGGCUAGUCCCUCGACAAACCAUUCAAGUUUCUGCCCCAUCAGCUUUCGAUGGUAGUGUAUUGGACUACCAUGGCUUUCACGGG